AGCGAACGCUGGCGGCAGGCCUAACACAUGCAAGUCGAACGAAGUCUUCGGACUUAGUGGCGGACGGGUGAGUAACACGUGGGAACGUGCCUUUAGGUUCGGAAUAACUCAGGGAAACUUGUGCUAAUACCGAAUGUGCCCUUCGGGGGAAAGAUUUAUCGCCUUUAGAGCGGCCCGCGUCUGAUUAGGUAGUUGGUGAGGUAAAGGCUCACCAAGCCUACGAUCCAUAGCUGGUCUGAGAGGAUGACCAGCCACACUGGGACUGAGACACGGCCCAGACUCCUACGGGAGGCAGCAGCAGGGAAUCUUGCGCAAUGGGCGAAAGCCUGACGCAGCCAUGCCGCGUGUAUGAUGAAGGUCUUAGGAUUGUAAAAUACUUUCACCGGGGAAGAUAAUGACGGUACCCGGAGAAGAAGCCCCGGCUAACUUCGUGCCAGCCGCCGCCGUAAUAC
rnacentral:rRNA from 1 species